CAGAGCAGGAAGAGGAGAAGGAAGAGGAGAAGGAGGAGGAGAAGGAGGAGGAAUUGGCAAACUCAGGCUACACAUGGUCACAUGGAAUGUGGCGACAGCAGAGCCUCCUGGUGAUGUCAUUUCCUUGCUGCAGCUGGACGCACAGCCUGCCACAGACCUCUACGUGAUUGGUCUUCAGGAGGUAAAUGCAGCUCCUCUGAGGUUUCUGUCAGACCUGCUGGUAGAAGACUCUUGGAGCCACCUACUGAUGAACACAC